rnacentral:rRNA from 1 species
GAUGAACGCUGGCGGCGUGCCUAAUACAUGCAAGUCGAGCGAAUGGAUUAAGAGCUUGCUCUUAUGAAGUUAGCGGCGGACGGGUGAGUAACACGUGGGUAACCUGCCCAUAAGACUGGGAUAACUCCGGGAAACCGGGGCUAAUACCGGAUAACAUUUUGAACCGCAUGGUUCGAAAUUGAAAGGCGGCUUCGGCUGUCACUUAUGGAUGGACCCGCGUCGCAUUAGCUAGUUGGUGAGGUAACGGCUCACCAAGGCAACGAUGCGUAGCCGACCGUGUAGGGUGAUCGGCAACGCGUGGAAUGAGACACGGCCCAGACUCCUACGGGAGGCAGCAGUAGGGAAUCUUCCGCAAUGGACGAAAGUCUGACGGGGCAACGCCGCGUGAGUGAUGAAGGCUUUCGGGUCGUAAAACUCUGUUGUUAGGGAAGAACAAGUGCUAGUUGAAUAAGCCGGCACCUUGACGGUACCUAACCAGAAAGCCACGGCUAACUACGUGCCAGCCGCCGCCGUAA